rnacentral:rRNA from 1 species
GACGAACGCUGUCGGCGUGACUAAUACAUGCAAGUCGAGCGAAGCGGCGGAUGGGUGAGUAACGCGUGGGUAACCUGCCAUUAAGUCUGGGAUACCAUUUGGAAACAGAUGCUAAUACCGGAUACUAAAGGAUGGACCUGCGAUGCAUUAGCUAGUUGGUAAGGUAACGGCUUACAAAGGCGAUGAUGCAUAGCCGAGUUGAGAGACUGAUCGGCAACAUUGGGACUGAGACACGGCCCAAACUCCUACGGGAGGCAGCAGUGGGGAAUAUUGCACAAUGGGCGCAAGCCUGAUGCAGCCAUGCCGCGUGUAUGAAGAAGGCCUUCGGGUUGUAAAGUACUUUCAGCGAGGAGGCGUUACUCGCAGAAGAAGCACCGGCUAACUCCGUGCCAGCAGCCGCGGUAAUAC